rnacentral:rRNA from 1 species
GACGAACGCUGGCGGCGUGCUUAACACAUGCAAGUCGAACGGAGCGAAUGAAAGCUUGCUUUUAUGAGCUUAGUGGCAAACGGGUGAGUAACACGUAGACAACCUGCCGACAGGAUGGGGACAACAUUCCGAAAGGAAUGCUAAUACCGAAUGAAGCGGAGGAGAGGCAUCUCUCCUCCGUGAAAGAUGGCCUCUAUUUAUAAGCUAUCACCUGUUGAUGGGUCUGCGUCUGAUUAGCUAGUUGGUGAGGUAACGGCUCACCAAGGCGACGAUCAGUAGCCGGUCUGAGAGGAUGAACGGCCACAUUGGGACUGAGACACGGCCCAGACUCCUACGGAGGCAGCAGUGGGGAAUCUUCCGCAAUGGGCGCAAGCCUGACGGAGCAACGCCGCGUGAGUGAAGAAGGUCUUCGGAUCGUAAAGCUCUGUUGACGGGGACGAACGUGCGGAGUGCGAAUAGCGCUU